rfam:Gossypium raimondii chromosome 12, whole genome shotgun sequence.
GGGUGCAAUCAUACCAAUACUAAUGCAUCAAAUCCCAUCAGAACUACGCAGUUAAGUGUUCUUGGACAAUGUUAGUACUAAGAUGGGUGACCUCUUGAGAAAUCCUCAUGUUGCACCCC